rnacentral:rRNA from 1 species
ACAUGCAGUCGAGCGGCAGCGACGACUUGAACCUUCGGGGGAUUUGUUGGGCGGCGAGCGGGGGACGGGUGAGUAAUGCCUGGGAAAUUGCCCUGAUGUGGGGGAUGCCAUUGGAAACGAUGGCUAAUACCGCAUGAUAGCUUCCGCUCGAGAGGGGGACCUUCGGGCCUCUCGCGUCAGGAUAUGCCCAGGUGGGAUUAGCUGAGUUGGUGAGGUAAGGGCUCACCAAGGCGACGAUCCCUAGCUGGUCUGAGAGGAUGAUCAGCCACACUGGAACUGACACACGGUCCAGACUCCUACGGGAGGCGGCAGUGGGGAAUAUUGCAGAAUGGGCGCAGGCCUGAGGCAGCCAUGCCGCGUGUAUGAGGAAGGCCUUCUGGUUGUAAAGUACUUUCAGCAGUGAGGAAGGGGAUAUCGUUGAUAGCGGUAUUCUUUGACGUUAGCUGCAAAAUAAGCACCGGCUAACUCCGUGCCAGCAACCGCGGUAAUACUGAGGGUGCGAGCGUUAAUCGGAAUUACUGGGCGUAAAGCGCAAGCUCGUGGUUUGUUAAGUCAGAUGUGAAAGCCCGGGGCUCAUCCUCGGAGUUGCAUUUGAAACUGGCAGGCUAGAGUACUGUACAGGGGGGUAGAAUUUCAGGUGUAGCGGUGAAAUGCAUAGAGAUCUGAAAGAAUACCGGUGGCGAAUGCGGCCCCCUGGACAGAUACUGACACUCAGAUGCGAACGCGUGUGGAGCACACAGGAUUAGAUACCCUGGUAGUCCACGCCGUAGACGAUGUCUACUUGGAGGUUGUGGCCUUGAGCCGUGGCUUUCGGAGCUAACGCGUGAAGUAUACCGCCUGGGGAGUACAGUCGCAUGAUUAUGACUCAGAUGAAUUGACGGGGGCCCGCACAAGCGGU